UACAGAGGUCUCAAGCGUUGUUCGGAUUCAUUGGGCGUAAAGGGUGCGUAGGCGGCGCGGUAAGUCGGGGUGUGAAAUUUCGAGGCUUAACUUCGAAACUGCAUUCGAUACUGCCGUGCUUGAGGACUGGAGAGGAGACUGGAAUUUACGGUGUAGCGGUGAAAUGCGUAGAUAUCGUAAGGAAGACCAGUGGCGAAGGCGGGUCUCUGGACAGUUCCUGACGCUGAGGCACGAAGGUCAGGGGAGCAAACGGG
rnacentral:rRNA from 1 species